UAUGGAAAGCACGAUCUGAACAUGUGUUUGAAGACAAUUUUUGAAGUAAUGACUGCUCAUUACAUCAAAAAGCAACCUGGCUGUUUAAUGCCUUCAUUUCCGUGUGUUUCUGCAAGCAUGUAUGCACACUCGCAAACACACACACACACACACACACACACACACACGUGUUUACACUCUCGCCCUCAGGACAGUCUGCAUAUACAGCAUGCAUUUAGACCAUGGCGUGUAAACAGAGUAUUAUCUCUACAAAGGGGCUGCAUCAGCACAUAAAGGCCUGUCCGCCCAGUUUUUGCCCUCCAGCUGCAGUUUCGGUCUUGCCAGCCUCCACCCGAAGCACCUGCCGCGACCGUGGGUGGCAGCGCGUUUGAAGUAGCGCUCGUCUCAUUCAAAUGGAUGAAGUUUGACAAACGGCGCAGUUAGCGGAAGCCCACCACGGAAGGUAGCCAUGUCUUUGUUGACCACAAUGCUUAUAAAGUCUCGCAGCUGCUCCUCGCAUGCGAAAGCAAUCCUCGUCGAUUUCCCCCCCCCGUUAAGGUCAUCCAGGGAUCAUCGGUCUUGUGCGCUUUAUUUAGCCGUAAUUACUUGGUGCAGAACUUCUGAGUGGCAAGCUUACAUUAAUUAAGCCCGAGCACAAGCUGCGGUCCUACUGGCACGGACCGAGUGUUUGUUGUAAAGGUCAGGCUUUGGUAAUGGAUUUGGGGCACGGUGUUCUUUCUGUUUGGAUAUCCUAUUUUGGACGCUCCUCUCACAUAUGCCUCGCGUUUAGAGCCAAGCAGCACAGACGAUUUGAAAAUGCCAUUGUGCGAUCCAGAGUGUGUUCACAUGCCCGUGAUUUGCCCGGGCCAUGCCGCUCGCGCAACCCUGGCACUGCACCCAAAAGCCAUUUAGUGUACCUAUCUGACAUUUCUUUUUCGAACAGAGGGAGGGGAGGAAAAAAAGCGACCUACAAAGCUGUCAUUAUCACAUGUAAUUAUAGGAAUAGGCUUGCCGCUUUCUGAUCUCUACUUCUCGUCUCAUCUCGUCUCUAUUCACUUAUCUGCGUCUCUCGAUAAUGGUCAGAAAGCAAAGGGCUCGUGUAUGUACAUGUCCACAACACACUGUCUUUUAUAUUCAAACAGCGCAGGAGAUUAAAUGCACAGUGACAGGAAAUUAAGAAGGAAAUGUAACGUAGCGCUAUGCACAACGUUAUACUGGAAAAGCCAGAGCUGUGUGUACAGCUGUUUACAGUAAACAACCGGUAGGGAAUAGAAGUGCACUUGUAUGUAUGCGCUUAUAAUAACUUCAGAAACAAGAUGUCUAUCUUUCUUCUGCAGAAUGAGAGUAUAAUAGAAGAGCUGCAAUGUAGAACCCAACCCUAGCCUUGCAUCAUUCACAGAGCCGUAUUGCAUCACGUUACAGAUUACCAAGGAAGGCUGUUACUCCCUCGGUUUCCGGCAGCCGCAUGGAAGUCAAGCAAGGCUUCCCGAGUACUCGUGACGUUUCUGCUGGGAAUGAAUUGGCUGCAGGUCAGGAAGAACGCGUGGCUGUAAAUGCAGCAUGACCAUUCGUUAUAGUGAGAAGUGCAGCCUUGGUAGAAAUAGAACAAGAAAACAAUCUAGCAAACAUUCAAAGAGUGUAGUUUAAUGAGUGUUAAAGAGUUAAUACUCCAUCGGGUGAGUUAUAGCCCUUGUGUAAUAGCUGACAUAGCUCACAAAUAGAAUGUAGCAGGUUAAAGCACAUGAAUUGGCUUCUGUGAAUACGAGUUUGCACCGUAAGAGUCUCAAGCCGCACCUUGUGGUUAUGAAGUCAGUGCUGAAUGCCAAAGAAAGCUUUAGGCCAGGACAAUAUGCUUAUUGUCUUCUAUGGCAAAAGGUGGCAUUUAGAAAGCGAAGGAUUAUUGAUGUUGGAAAGAGCUGCCUUUGUAGGAGAGCUUCCUGUAGGUUCAGGGAAAUUUAAGGAUUGUUUCUUAAGACAAUGGAUUACUGUGAAUAUAAGAAAGCUGUAGGUGUGAAUGAUGACUGGAGAAGAGGGUGUCAGUAAAGGUCAUCUAACCCUGACCAGGGGCUGCUGGAACAGUGCCAAGAGGAGUAUGCUAGUGCUAAAGAGUGGAGCCGUGACAGUGAUGGACAUCGUGGCAGAAAGGUCAUGCCUGCGAGCAUCCACCCCAGUGCCUUCAUGCCAUGACGCAUGACACAUGUAGGGCGUAAGAUGAGUGAUCACCACUGCUCCAACCAUGACCUCUCAGAUUUGAGUUUUUGGUUUUAAAUUUAGUUCAGAAUUUCAUGAAUCAGAAUUUACAAUAUUGUCUCAGCAGUUAUAAUAAACGGACGCUCAUUAUA